rnacentral:rRNA from 1 species
UACGGAGGGUGCAAACGUUGCUCGGAAUCAUUGGGCGUAAAGCGCACGCAGGCGGUCUGUCAAGUCGGAUGUGAAAUCCCCGGGCUCAACCUGGGAACUGCAUUCGAAACUGGCAGGCUAGAGUCUUGUAGAGGGGGGUAGAAUUCCAGGUGUAGCGGUGAAAUGCGUAGAGAUCUGGAGGAAUACCGGUGGCGAAGGCGGCCCCCUGGACAAAGACUGACGCUCAGGUGCGAAAGCGUGGGGAGCAAACAGG